rnacentral:rRNA from 1 species
AACCUGCGGAGGGAUCAUUACCGAGUUUACAACUCCCAAACCCAAUGUGAACGUUACCAAACUGUUGCCUCGGCGGGAUCUCUGCCCCGGGUGCGUCGCAGCCCCGGACCAAGGCGCCCGCCGGAGGACCAACCAAAACUCUUAUUGUAUACCCCCUCGCGGGUUUUUUUAUAAUCUGAGCCUUCUCGGCGCCUCUCGUAGGCGUUUCGAAAAUGAAUCAAAACUUUCAACAACGGAUCUCUUGGUUCUGGCAUCGAUGAAGAACGCAGCGAAAUGCGAUAAGUAAUGUGAAUUGCAGAAUUCAGUGAAUCAUCGAAUCUUUGAACGCACAUUGCGCCCGCCAGUAUUCUGGCGGGCAUGCCUGUCCGAGCGUCAUUUCAACCCUCGAACCCCUCCGGGGGGUCGGCGUUGGGGAUCGGCCCUCCCUUAGCGGGGUGGCCGUCUCCGAAAUACAGUGGCGGUCUCGCCGCAGCCUCUCCUGCGCAGUAGUUUGCACACUCUGCAUCGGGAGCGCGGCGCGUCCACAGCCGUUAAACACCCAACUUCUG